UAUUGGACAAUGGGGGGAACCCUGAUCCAGCGACGCCGCGUGAGUGAAGAAGUAUCUCGGUAUGUAAAGCUCUAUCAGCAGGGAAGAAGAAAUGACGGUACCUGAGUAAGAAGCCCCGGCUAACUACGUGCCAGCAGCCGCGGUAAUACGUAGGGGGCAAGCGUUAUCCGGAAUUACUGGGUGUAAAGGGAGCGUAGACGGUAUAACAAGUUGGUUGUGAAACCCCUCGGCUAAACUGAGGAACUGCAACCAAAACUAUUAUUCUUGAGUGCAGGAGAGGAAAGUGGAAUUCCUAGUGUAGCGGUGAAAUGCGUAGAUAUUAGGAAGAACACCGGUGGCGAAGGCGACUUUCUGGACUGUAACUGACGUUGAGGCACGAAAGUGUGGGGAGCAAACAGG
rnacentral:rRNA from 1 species